ACCAGACUCCUACGGGAGGCAGCAGUGGGGGAUAUUGCACAAUGGGGGGAACCCUGAUGCAGCGACGCCGCGUGGGUGAAGAAGCGCCUCGGCGCGUAAAGCCCUGUCAGCAGGGAAGAAAAUGACGGUACCUGAAGAAGAAGCCCCGGCUAACUACGUGCCAGCAGCCGCGGUAAUACGUAGGGGGCAAGCGUUAUCCGGAUUUACUGAGUGUAAAGGGGGCGCAGACGGCGAUGCAAGCCAGGAGUGAAAGCCCGGGGCGCAACCCCGGGACUGCGCUUGGAACUGCGUGGCUGGAGUGCAGGAGGGGCAGGCGGAAUUCCUGGUGUAGCGGUGAAAUGCGUAGAUAUCAGGAGGAACACCGGUGGCGAAGGCGGCCUGCUGGACUGCAACUGACGUUGAGGCCCGAAAGCGUGGGGAGCAAACAGGAUUAGAUACCCCCGUAGC
rnacentral:rRNA from 1 species